rnacentral:rRNA from 2 species
CGAAGAGACCACAGGGAUUGCCCUAGUAACGGCGAGUGAAGCGGCAACAGCUCAAAUUUGAAAUCUGGCUCUUUCAGGGUCCGAGUUGUAAUUUGUAGAGGGUGCUUUGGAGUUGACUGUGGUCUAAGUUCCUUGGAACAGGACGUCGCAGAGGGUGAGAAUCCCGUAUGUGGCCGCCAGUCUUCGCCGUGUAAAGCCCCUUCGACGAGUCGAGUUGUUUGGGAAUGCAGCUCUAAAUGGGAGGUAAAUUUCUUCUAAAGCUAAAUAUUGGCCAGAGACCGAUAGCGCACAAGUAGAGUGAUCGAAAGAUGAAAAGCACUUUGGAAAGAGAGUCAAAAAGCACGUGAAAUUGUUGAAAGGGAAGCGCUUGCAGCCAGACUUGCCUGUAGUUGCUCAUCCGGGCUUUUGCCCGGUGCACUCUUCUAUAGGCAGGCCAGCAUCAGUCCUGGCGGUCGGAUAAAUGCCUGCUGAAUGUACCUCUCCUCGGGGAGGACUUAUAGCGGUGGGCGGCAUACGACCAGCCGGGAUUGAGGUCCGCGCAUCUGCUAGGAUGCUGGCGUAAUGGCUGUAAGCGGCCCGUCUUGAAACACGGACCAAGGAGUCUAACAUCUAUGCGAGUGUUUGGGUGUCAAGCCCGAGCGCGUAAUGAAAGUGAACGGAGGUGGGAACCCCUCGGGGCGCACCAUCGACCGAUCCUGAUGUCUUCGGAUGGAUUUGAGUAAGAGCAUAGCUGUUGGGACCCGAAAGAUGGUGAACUAUGCCUGAAUAGGGUGAAGCCAGAGGAAACUCUGGUGGAGGCUCGCAGCGGUUCUGACGUGCAAAUCGAUCGUCAAA